rnacentral:rRNA from 1 species
GUGUUCAAAGCAGGCAGAUCCAAUUUUCUGCCACCGAAUACAUUAGCAUGGGAUAAUGGAAUAGGACCCUGUCCUCCUAUUUUCAGUUGGUUUUGGCAGCGCGAGGACUAGGGUAAUGAUUAAUAGGGAUAGUUGGGGGCAUUAAUAUUUAAUUGUCAGAGGUGAAAUUCUUGGAUUUAUGAAAGAUUAACUUCUGCGAAAGCAUCUGCCAAGGAUGUUUUCAUUAAUCAAGAACGAAAGUUAGGGGAUCGAAGACGAUCAGAUACCGUCGUAGUCUUAACCAUAAACGAUGCCGACCAGCGAUUAGGAGACGUUGAAUACAAAACACCACCAUCGGCGCGGUCGUCCUUGGCGUCGGUCCUUCACGGGGCCGGCGCGAGGGCGGCUUAGCCCGGUGGCAC